ACUAACCGGGCUUAGUAUUUGAUUCAAAAUUCCAAACGAAAAAGUAAACGAUAAGUAAACGAAAUAGCCUUUUUCCUGAAUGUAAGACACGUUUUAUUCAACAUCAUCAUCGUCCGAGCCUUUUUCCCAAACUAUGUUGGGGUCGGCUUCCAGUCUAACCGGAUUCAGCUGAGUACCAGUGCUUUACAAGAAGCGACUGCCUAUCUGACCUCCUCAACCCAGUGGGCAACCCGAUACGUUUUAUUCAACAUGACCUUGGCAUAAUAUCUGUCUUGAUAGUUGCUAAGCAACGUUUUGACGUAUAUUAUCAAAGCCGUAAAGAUUGUUUGUUUAUAAAUUGUUGACAAAAAAGCGUAAACAAUGAUGCCGCUACUGAUCUACGGCGCCGAGCUGGUGGGCGUGCUGUACGCAGCAUACAUGUGCUUCCAUCUGAACUAUGUGUACUGGGAUAAAUAAUAAAGUCACAAUAUGAUAAGUA